rnacentral:tRNA from 1 species
GCCCUGUAGCUCAGUUGGUAGAGCAGCGGACUGAAAAUCCGCGUGUCGUUGGUUCGAUUACGACCAAAGGCACCA